AUGUCGCAAUUGGGCUUCAAAGAUGAGCAUGCCGUCAAGAAGGUGGAGAUGGCUCUGGACAUCAUGCAACAGGAACCUGGUCUUCACCAUGGACACGGUGUUCUGAGCCACAAACCAAGCGCAAGGCCGAGAAUAUUUUGUCAGAAACGUCGAGAGUGUGUUGUGCCAUCUGUCACAUCACCCCCAGGGACAAGUUUGUGCUCAAGUUUAGGCUCAUCAAAUCGAAUGCGCAGUGCCAUGUCGAUCGCACCUUCUGUGAAGCAUCAAGAGCGAAGCACGUUGUCUUUGAUCUCAGUAUGGGGUUGCGGGGCGGGGCCGUGCCAACUCGUGCUCCAUUUCAGCAGUAGCUCUCCUGCCAUCAGAUCUCUGCUUUUCAUGUCUGUGUGCCUGGACCUGUCCCUUCGCAUGAUUUCUGUGGCUUCGCAAGCCUAUGGAAGCUCAAGCUCGAUGCCGCAUGAAGAGAUAUGCAGUGCCUUUGCUCGACUACACCUUUGCAGAUCUUCUUGGUGGUACGGAAGCCCUCCAUAUCCAACCUGCUGUUGA
rnacentral:rRNA from 1 species